AAUUCAUCCUAUGGUUGAGUUGAGGGGUUCUGCUUCUUGGUUUUUGCAGGACUUUGUUACUGUGGAAUAAAGGUAUGUAUAUGUACUGCUAAUAGAGUUUUAGUAUUGUAUUUUUCCAUAUAGUUAUUUGUGCUUGGCCAAUGACAGCUUUCGUCUCUCUAUUCUUAUGACCUGUGUCUGAUUCCUUAGAUAAAAAAUUCUCCGUCACCAAGGUGUUUGAUAAAAUUCUUCAAUGAAUUUGGACCGUGUCUUUAAUUUCUUAUGCACCCUCCUGGUGUUUUCUAUCAUCACGAGGUAAGAGAGAAAAUAGAAAAUUACGAAUGCAUGUACUAUCAUAUUAUCAACAGAGGAGAGCCGAAUGUUUGACACGAUCUUUUAAACCUUUUUUCUUUCUCCCUUUUCACAAGGCAUGAGAGAUUAUAAUUACAGAGAUAAAUAUUUGACGAGUUGUUGUUGUAACUAUGCGGAUUUUCUAUCUUUUAUAGGUAUCUGUAUUUGUAUGGUAUCUUUGGAUGAAACAUUACCAAAAUAUUGCAAGUUAGUUGACUGAUAUAUGGAGCUUUUGUAAGGUGAUUGCUUGAAAAGAGACAAAGUGUGAAUUGCUUUAUUUUAGAUGGAAUUUGUGUUAAAUAUUUCACUACAUGGGACAGCAACAUUUAAACCUUAAUGAUUUUGCUCCAACUCCUGCAAUUUGUGUGUAACUACUUGGAUUUGGCAAACUUAUUGAGAGAAACAAAUUCAUGGAUUUGGCCAACCAUUUUCUCUGGAGACAUUAUGCAUCUUACAUUUUCUCUUGAUUGCUUGGAGAAAUGGUUCAAUUUCAUCUUUUUCAAAAAAGGACAUAAUUCACUGCAUUCAAGUUAUUCUGAGUUUUAGCUUUGCAUCUGGGUCCUAAUGUUUUGUCUUAUUGGACCUUGACAUUAGUAUUCUGCUUCCUGUUUACAAAGAGUGAUUAAUUUGUGUUUUUUUUUCUUUUUGUUAAUAAAUUUGGUACAUUUAUUUGAUCUUUUCAUUUAAAAUUUUAGUUCCUUUAGAAGAAGAGAUACGGAUAGAGACCUAAGAUUUUAAUGAAGACUUUAGCAUCUUUCAAGAUGAAAUUGCCUUCUUCUUUAGGAAAUAGUGCUAACAAGUUGUGUAGUUACCAGAUGGUGGUUGGGGAUGUUUUGGAAGCAUUUUCAGCAUCAAUCACUUCUUUGAGCAUUUGCAGCAAGGUAAUAUUUGGACUUUUCGGUUCAAGAAAUGAAUGUCUUUGUUGAAUUUUGGUUGUUUGUACUUUUUCAAGAAAAUAUGUUUAUAUUUUAAUAUGAGUGUUGAUUGAAGGAUUCUAGUUUUCAAUGUUACUUGUUUGUUGAUAAAGUUAUUGCUGAGUUGGAGAAGCAUUUAUGUGCUGACCUGUCAGAAUCCUUUACAUUUACCAUCACCAGGUUUGUUCCCCAUUAUCUUACUAAAAAAGCAUCAUCAGAUUUAUACACCGUUAUCAUCAUCAGGUAUGUCUGUUAUGUUCGUGUAUUGAAUGUUGGUUUGGGAAUGAGGAAGGAAUGCAAAGUAUACCACUGCCUCACAGAAUGCAUUAUACGAAAGGCAAUAUGCUUCAUAGCUGAAGUGUUGGGCCUAAGACUUUAUUCUUGCAUUUAUCUCUAUGAAAUUAAAACUUGUAGUUCUUCGCUGCUCAUUUCAUGCACGAGAAUGAAAUCUUAAAACUAUAAGGUGCAGUCCGGUGGAACAAGAAGAAUUUUAUAAGGUUAACCAGUUCAAAUACUUUUAAGACUCUUUGACAAGUGUAACAACGUUUUAACUUUUCGUACUUAGACUUAGUGGGGAGAACAGUAGAGCUUUAAAGGGUAGUUCCCUGCAUUAUAAAUAUGAAAGAAAUUCGACACCUUCUGAAUCUCUUAGGCUGUCAAUGUAAGACUGUUGGCCUUCCACUGAAAAGUUUAUCCAUAUGUGAGGAUAUAUAAUAAAAGAGAUAUGGUGUAGCAUGGGCAUUUCAUUUGAGUUCUCUGAGGCCUUCAAGACUCACUCUUAUCAAAGUGAGAGCAAUUUUCAUGAACUCUCACAUGAUUCCUCUCAUACUAUAAACAAAAGUGUGUUUUUGUGAUACCCCGGUUAGGAGGUGCGAGAGGUUGCAAGUGGCGAGUCAGAGGAGGGGUAGAGGGAGGCUUAAGAAGAACUGGGGUGAAGUGAUUAGGCAGGACAACUCUGCUCCAGCUUACCGAGGACAUGACCCUCGAUAGAAAGGUGUGGAGGUCGAAAAUUAGGGUGGUGGGUUGAUAGACAGUCUAGAGUUUGUCUUGUCUUACUAGUAGUAGUUGUACUAGUCGGGUACCUUCCUAUUCCUAGUCCCUUGUUUAUAUACGGUAUGUCAGUAUUAGCAGUGAGAUUGACACUAUUCUUGUUGUUUCAUUUCCUUGGAUCUCUGUCACUAUUCGUUGUAUUAUUUGCUUACAUUGUCUUAUUACAUUGUUGUUGCUAUUGUUUCUCUAUUGUUCCAUUUUUUUUUUACGUUCUUGAGCCGAAAGUCUUUCAGAAACAACUUCUCUACCUUCAUAAAUAGGGGUAAGGUCUGCGUACACACUACCCUCCCCAGACCCCACUUGUGUGAUUCCAUUGGGUUGUUGUUGUUGGUUAUUUUAUUUGGUAAAUUGACUUUUCUUUAGAUUCAAGUCUAGUCUGAUUAGAUGAGAGCAACAGAUGUGCUUAGCAGAUAAGAUGACAUUUUGUUCUCGGCAUUUAACAUUUUCUUUGCCAGAUUUGUCAGUUGUUGUAUCGUAUUUAGCAUGUAAGAAGAUGCUAAACCCAUUACUCCUAAUACUUAUCGGGAAAAAACUACUGAAGUUGUCGAUUUGUAAUUAGCAUACUCUCUGCCCAUGGCAUUAGAAAUUUCAUGCUUUCCAGCAUGUCAUAUGUUUCCAAAUUCAAUUAGUUUUGAGGAUGGUUUGAUUGGAUAGGUUAAAAGGAGUCGCUAAGAGACAUUUAAAUUAUGAGCUGCCAUAUCAAAAGCUUUAGUCUUCUCGCGCCUGUAAAUUCUACAAUUCAGAUGACUAAUUUGAUUUUAUAUGUCGUGUUAUGUGUUCUCUUUCAGACAAAAAAAUUGCGAAUUGUGAGUUUGAUGAAAUAGUAUGAUUUUUUAAUAUUGGUUCUUUAAUUUAUCCAAUCUCAAUUCUUUGAAAGUAAGUUCUUAGGCAGUUUUCCUGUAAUAUACAAAUUAUGAUUUCAAAAAAUCCCUUUAAUAAAGAAAAGAAAAGGAUUCGCAUUCAGACUUAGUCUUUACACUUCAUUUGCAGUAUGAGAUCUAUGAUUCUGCACUUGUUAGGCAUUCCCUUCUUGAGAUCAAUCAAGACGCAAAUUAGCUUUACGUACAAAUAUGUCAUGUGUACUUGCAGUUGUGAUUCUGCAUAACUUAGUAUGCACAUGUAUCUGUCUGCUUACUGUGAGUUUAUAUUUGAGGUAAUAUACAUAUAGGUAUGGUCCUCUUUGCUCUUUGGAAUUACUAAAUUCUAUUAGUCUCCUAUUGAUCUUCCAGGGUGACUUUUGCUCCUCACUUUUUUCCGUCUGAACUUCAUAUUAUUUGACAAAGAAAUAGAAUGAGUUCCUUUAGGCAACCACAAUGCUAAAGUUGCAUCUAGCAUAAUUAUUCGGUGAUCAUUGUUCUGUUUAUGGAUUGUAAAUCUUGUCAAUGAAAAUUUGGUAACUCAGGAUGGAGAUUGCUUGGAUUGGGUAAUUCCUCAACAUGCAAAGAUGAUCUUCUUACUCUUUGGAGAUACUAAAUUCUGAUAGAAUUUCCUCUUCUCUUCAAGUGAUUUCCACUAUAUAUCUUCUCUUUUCGUACAACUUGCUCUUGUUUGGAAGAAAAUAAAAUUAUAUUUUGAAGUCUUCACACCGUGCUAAAGUUGCAUUUGACAUAUUUCUUCGAUGAUUUUUUUAUUUUGCUUAUGAAAAUUACCUCACUCAUGUGGAUAGACGAAAUCUUUUCUGGCAAAGUUGAAUCCAAAUACUUGAG
rnacentral:lncRNA from 1 species